AUUGAACGCUGGCGGCAUGCCUUACACAUGCAAGUCGAACGGCAGCACGGGGGCAACCCUGGUGGCGAGUGGCGAACGGGUGAGUAAAGCAUCGGAACGUACCCGGGAGUGGGGGAUAACGUAGCGAAAGUUACGCUAAUACCGCAUAUUCUCUGAGGAGGAAAGCAGGGGAUCACAAGACCUUGCGCUUUCGGAGUGGCCGAUGUCGGAUUAGCUAGUUGGUGGGGUAAAGGCCUACCAAGGCGACGAUCCGUAGCGGGUCUGAGAGGAUGGUCCGCCACACGGGGACUGAGACACGGCCCAGACUCCGACGGGAGGCAGCAGUGGGGAAUUUUGGACAAUGGGGGCAACCCUGAUCCAGCCAUGCCGCGUGAGGGAAGAAGGCCUUCGGGUUGUAAAGCUCUUUCGGCCGGGAAGAAAUCGCGCAGGAUAAUACCCUGUGUGGAUGACGGUACCGGAAUAAGAAGCACCGGCUAACUACGUGCCAGCAGCCGCCGUAAAAC
rnacentral:rRNA from 1 species